rnacentral:rRNA from 1 species
CACGUAGGGUGCGAGCGUUGUCCGGAAUUUAUUGGGCGUAAAGAGCUCGUAGGCGGUGUGUCGCGUCGGCCGUGAAAACCUGCAGCUUAACUGUGGGCUUGCGGUCGAUACGGGCAUCACUGGAGUUCGGCAGGGGAGACUGGAAUUCCUGGUGUAGCGGUGAAAUGCGCAGAUAUCAGGAGGAACACCGGUGGCGAAGGCGGGUCUCUGGGCCGAUGACUGACGCUGAGGAGCGAAAGCGUGGGGAGCGAACAGG